UGGGGGCGAGCUGGGCUGCAGAGAUCCCCCUGCUGCUGCAGCAGCUGGCAGGAACAACUCCAAGCACUCUGGACAGGGCUGAAUGGGAGAGCCUUCUGCUGAAGUUCCUGCAAAUGUCACUGGAUAU